rnacentral:rRNA from 1 species
GACGAACGCUGGCGGCGUGCUUAACACAUGCAAGUCGAACGGAGUGGCGAACGGGUGAGUAACACGUGGGUGACCUGCCCUGCACUUCGGGAUAAGCCUGGGAAACUGGGUCUAAUACCGGAUAGUGUGGGAUGGGCGCGCGGCCUAUCAGCUUGUGGGUGGGGUAAUGGCCGACCAAGGCGGCGACGGGUAGCCGGCCUGAGAGGGUGGACGGCCACAUUGGGACUGAGACAGGGCCCAGAAGCCUACGGGAGGCAGCAGGGGAGAAGAGUGCAGAGUGGGCGGAAGCCUGAUGCAGCGACGCCGGGUGGGGGAUGACGGCCUUCGGGUUGUAAACUCCUUUCACCAUCGACGCGGUAGAUGGAGAAGAAGCACCGGCUAACUACGUGCCAGCAGCCGCGGUAAUUC